rnacentral:rRNA from 1 species
UACAGAGGGUGCAAACGUUGCUCGGAAUUAUUGGGCGUAAAGCGCGUGUAGGCGGCUUGUUAAGUUGGUUGUGAAAACCCAUGGCUCAACCAUGGAAGGGCGUCCAAAACUGGCAAGCUAGAGUCCCGACGAGGAUGGCGGAAUUCCCAGUGUAGAGGUGAAAUUCGUAGAUAUUGGGAGGAACACCAGUGGCGAAGGCGGCUCACUGGACCGGUUCUGACGCUGAUGCGCGAAAGCGUGGGGAGCAAACGGG